CCUGAUUAAAAUGGAAGGGUGAAAGGGAGAUGGGUUGGCGGAAAGAGAGACGGAGGUUCAAAAGAGGGCGGCGAAAGUGUGUGGGGAGGUGGCCUGCUCUUGCUUUCCGUCCCAUCCUCUUUCCUUCGUGUACUUCUAAUAUGGAACAGUCGCUUAUUCUCUUGAGUUCAGGGAUUUGUUCUCGCCUUACAGGUGGGAGAGGAAGGGGCGAACUUUUCAUAGGGUCAUGGAAUUGUAGAGUUGGAAGAGAUCCUGAGGGUCAUCUAGUCCAAUCCCCCGCGAUGCAGGAAUCUCAACUAAAGCAUCCAUGGAAGAUGGCCACCCAACCUCUGCUUAAAAACCUCCAAGGAAGGAGAGUGCACUACCUUCUGAGGAAGUCCGUUCCACUGUCGAACAGCUCUCACUGUCAGAAAGUUAUAAAAAAAUUGUCCAGUAGAACCUUAGAGACCAACUAAGUAUGUUCUGGGUAUAAGCUUUCGUUUAUAAGCUUCUUUCUGAAGUGUGCAUGCACACGAAAGCUUAUACCCAGAACAUACUUAGUUGGUCUCUAAGGUGCUAUUUAUUUCGACUGUGUCAGACCAACAUGGCUACCUACCUGAAUCUUUUCAGAAAGUUAUUCCUGAUGUUCUGAGUGAGGCAGAUGUUCUUCCUUUUUUCUAUUUGUAACACAUGGGGAUUCCCUGAGUGCUGUUCGCAAACACUUCAGUGGUGAUACUGAAUUGGAAUGAGUGGUAUUCAGCUAAGUUCCACUCAGAUUAAACCUGUUGAAAUCAAUGGAUCUUAGUCAUGUUCAUAAAUUUCAGUGGGUCUACUUAGUUGAAUACCACCCAUCGUGGUGGUUGUGUUUUAAUCAUUAGUUUAAGAAGUUAUCUCCAUGUAUUUAAGGCUCUGACCUUAUAUUACUUAGGAAUAAAUACAACUGGAUUCCUUGUGGGUCAAAUAGGAUAGUGCACGAGUGUUUUAAAAAUAGACAACAAUUUUGCAGGAUGACUGUUUCAAAAGAGUCCUUUAUUUCAGGGAUCACUUAGUUCAGUAUGACUUCUGAGUAAAAUGUGGAUAGGAUUGAGCUGCAUAUAUUCCUCCCCCCCCAAUUUAACCCUAUUUGUAAUUGUUUUUCAGAUUAUAUUUUAAGAAUAACUUUGCCCUUGGGAAUAGGUAUUUGUGACCAAAUUGAGCAGGGUAGUUGGAAGGAAUAAAUGGCAUGCAGCUGGUGGUGGAGUGUAGUAAAAUCAACUUGAGGUCAGGCCCAGAUUAAAGCAACUGGAGGCUCUGGGUUAGGAGACCUUGGGAGGCCAAAACCUAAGAGCAUCUGAUCAUGAGAAAUGAAACAUUGUUAUCUUCUUUAACUGCUCAACGAAAGUAGAAAAUUUCUGACAUUUUAGCAUUGAUAAAAAGUUUAUUAAAGUAUGGAAUUAAUGAAGACAUCCACACAGAACAUUAUUAGGGGAAUCAUAGCUGUGUUAUAACAUUACACUAUAUACAAAGUCAGAACAGUUUCUUUUGUGCUCUUUUGGAUGCAGAUUUAUCAAUUACAGUAUAUCAUUAAAAUCAGUAAGUUACAGUUUGUCAUUUUCUAUGCAGAGAAUGCUUAGAUCAGACAAUCAAUCUUGUGACGUUGUUGGCGGUAGAUCAUUCUUUAUCCCUUUUAGUCUAGAAAACGAUCUUUUACUAGUACAGUUUGUAACCAUUAAACACAGGAACAAUCUGAAAAUUGUUUCCACAUUUGGAAAAGCUGUUCAAAUUUUCUCCUGUAAUAUUUGAUACAUAUCUUGGUGGCUGAAAUUUUCUUUUUUCAAGGUGAGCUUGUUUGAUGUACAGGUGAAAGUGUAAGAGUUCUGCAGUAGUAAGCAGCAAAUAUUUGCACAUGUGCUUAAUGAAAUUUGUGAACUUUGGAGUGCCUUUCUAACUUUAUGAAAGUGUGCCCAAAACUAAAACAUGAAAAUGAAUUAAAAUCCUUCCAUUUUUUGCAGAUUUUCAGCCUGUCGUCUAAGUAUCUCUUUUUUUCAGAUUCAUCACAGUAAAUAUGACUGAGGGCUUCAACAAUGUAAGUAAGCAUAACAUUCACUAAUAGCUGCAGUAGCUUUGGCAUUAGCCUCCCUUCUUGUGUCUGAUAAAUGUUUAGGAACUUUUGACUCAAGAGGCUGAUAUUUAUGCAGAAGAUGAGAAAAAACAAUAAAGCUCAUUUAUUACGGCAAAAAAAUUCACUGCAUCCAGGGACAAGUCAGCUGUGGUUUGUCCAACUCGAUUUAGGGACUGUCCAGCGCAAUGGAAUAAACUUUGCAAGCUUGUUCCUUUCCAGAAUAUUUUGUGGAAUGUUGUUAUAUUUUCCGGCCAUAUUAUCUGCAUUGUCAUAUGAUUUACUGAAAUCAUAUGUACUGAAAUCAUAUGUUCAGUGAAGUAGUUCAGUAUCGGCUCAACCAUACUUUCACUGGUGUGGUAUUUCAGUUCAAAAAACUCAGAAAGCAUUCAGCUGGUGAUCCAUCGCUAGGAGAAACAUAUCUAACCAUAAGUUGAUCAACAUGGGAAACAUCAGGGUUUGAAUCAACAGAUAAACUAAAAUAACCUGCCAGUUUGAUGUUGCCCAGUAUGGCUUCUUGAACUGUAUAAGCCAUCAGCUGGAUAACCUAUUCACAUAUGGUUUUGGAGAAGUAUGAUAGCUGACGAGAGGCUUUACUUCCAUAUUGAUUUAUGUGAGUGCACAGGAAAUGAUCAAAUCUGGCAAUUAAUUCAAGCAGUCUAAGAAAGUUACCAUUGUCUGGUGAACCAAAUGUUUCAACAUUUCCAUGAAAUGCCAAGCCACGUUCCCCCAAAAGGGAAAUCACUGCAAUAACUCGCUGAAGUAUGUGCAGCUCCAGUAAUCCUGCUUUGAUUGGUUCUUUGAGUUUUUAUGUGAGUGUUUGAGCACACUUUCUUUUUAAGUAUGUUAGCAGAGAGUUUGUAUAAUUUUUAGAGUUUCUAUGGGUUUUAACAAGAUAAGUGUGAUGCCAAUCAUCAAAUACAGUAGAACCUAAAGUUGUAGUUGAGGUAGUUUGGUUAGAGAAAGGUUUGUGCACAAGACAGUAGACACUUCCUUUUGUGGGGGAAUACACUAGCCAUUCUUGAGGGUAUGUUUAUCCAUUUACUUUGGUGGAAUAGAAUAAUUUUUUGAACAGAUCCAGACUCUGUUUUUAGAUGUUUGCUUCAAAGUGGUAAAAGGUCCAUCCCAGUGCUGACAUUCCGAUGGACCUUUCUCAAUCCAGAAUGAUAUUUCCUUGUUAUUUAAUGUGGACCACAAACCUAUGACAUUAUUGUCUCUAAAAUCACUAGUAGCAUGAACCGUUGGUAUUUUUGUGUCUGCAAUGUAAGGGUUUUCACUCAGAUAAUUUGCUUUAUUUUCCAUACUUUAAGACAGUAAAGAGCUUGAACUGCUUCUUUUGGUACAACCAUCUCAUGGUAUGGUCCUUCAGCACCUUGUGUUAAUUCUUGGGCCGUAGGUCCUACCACUUCAUUGUCACUUUCUCCAGUUGUUUCUGUACUUGUAGUGGUAGUUACCGACAACAAUUCUCCUUGAAGGUCUUGGGAGGCUGUGUUCUGUAUAUAAACUGGUUGUUAUUCAGUCUGCUCAGACUACUCAGUGUAGUCUACUUGAUUUUCUUCUGUUUGUAAACAUGAAUGUUCUGUAUGAGGGAUUAUGUAAGGCUGUUUCUGCUUGGUUUACAAAGCCAUAUGACAUGAUUGGCUUUAAACAUUUGAGUAUUUCCUUCUGUGUUUUUUGUUGUUGUUGUUGCUUUCAUUUACUAGCACCACUUUCAUAGCGCUUACUCAUUAUUUUUUUCACAAGAAGUAAAAAUUAAAUAUUGUGAUUCACAGUGAUAUAAAAGGCAGUGAUCAGAACACUUGUAUUGCUUUAUCAUUUGAUUCUGAGUAGUUUUAAAGCCUCUGUGAAAUUUACUAAAUAGUAGAGUAUGCACUUGUGUAACUGUUAUACAGUCAUAGAUUCAUACACCACAUGUUUAAUAUUACUAAGCAACUGGGCCUAAAUAGUAAAAUCUGCCUGUUUACUUUUUUAUUUUGCAAGAGGCCAAGGCCCUCCCUAGAUUAUAAGGCCCUGCGCUGCAGCUAGCUCAGCCCAUAUGUAAAUCAGAUCUUUGGGCCUCAGGCCUCCAUGGUGAGGACCCUACCCAAUGGGGGCUUUAUGUAUAAGCACAUGCUCUUUAUUCAUAAGCAUCCAAAAGUUGUCUAUGAUGGCUCUGUCCCAAGUUCCCUUCUUGUUAGCUUGAUUGCCUUUUGAUUAGGUUGCAUGUUUUAAUUGCAGCCUAAUCAAAAAGCAAUCAAGCUAAAAAGGUAUUUAGGCAAUUAAUAAUCUAUCAUUAAAGCUAUGUGGGCCAAUCCAAUGCAUUGAAUUUUAUUCAGAAGUAAGCCCCGUUAAGUUCAGUGAGGCUUGCUCCAACAUAAGUGUGCCUAGGGUUUAUUGCAUUCUUAAUUUCAGAUCAAAAUCUGCUCCUUCCCUUUAGUUAAAUAGGCUUGAUAAUAAACCAUGUGCCACUGUUCCUAUCAUGCAGGUCCAUCUCCAUAUAGUCAAUGUAAUAAAACAAAGAUGGGUGAAAAAAGGAGCACAACAUCUUUUUGUUGUGGUUGUAGACAUGACUCAACGACUAAACAAAAACAACAAAAAGACGGGUGCUCCUUUUUUCACUGUAUCUAAAAAUAACACAUUUACAAUAAGGUAAACCCACAAUCCUUUCCCUAAUGGCACUAGAAAUUACAGGUAAAUCAAUCUGAUGGUGCUUUGCAGAAACUGAUGUCCAUACUCAUGUUAAAUCUUCAUCUGCUGUGAUACUGAUGAGAUUACAUGCUCAUUUUUAGUCAUAUUUCUUCCUGGUAUGUUGAGGUAUUAGACAAUAUUCUGUAUUCCAUACAGUACUCCCAAUUUGAUCGGGGGAAAUUAAAAUACAAUUUCUUAGUAACACCGAGGGCAGCUUUUGUUUAUUAUGCUUAAGUUGGCUUAUUUAAAAGGAACAUUCUUUACAACGUACAUAACCUAAGUCAAUAGCCACACUUCAGCUUUUGUGCAAUAUGCCCCAAACCCCAUUUUUAUGGCAGCUAGCUUGCCAUAUUUGGUCUGGCUGAGACAAAGAUCUAGUCCCUAUUUACCUCCACAUUCCAGCCCUUCAACCCAUCAUCCCCUUACCAUCCAAGUCUCAUUGUCUGACCUCAUCUCCUGUCAUGUGGCAACUGUUUACCUGCUUCUGUUUUACAGCUCCCAGGUAUACUGAUUUACCACAGACCCUGAACCAGGAGAGAAUCUGAAAAACAUACACAGUAACUCCUGCUUAAUGAAGAUGUUCACCUAGAUCACUGCCUCAAGCAACAAAUUCUUUAGCUAUCUUUGUCAGUUUUUUAUCUAAGUCAGGGGUCAGCAACCUUUUUCAGCCAUGGGCCAAUCCACCGUCUCUCAGACCUUGUGGGGGGUCGGACUAUAUUUUGGAAAAAAAUAUAUGAACGAAUUCCUAUGCCCCACAAAUAACCCAGAGAUGCAUUUUAAAUAAAAGCACACAUUCUACUCAUGUAAAAACACACUGAUUCCUUAACUGUCCGCGGGCCGGAUUGAGAAGGCAAUUGGGCCGCAUCCGGCCCACGGGCCUUAGGUUGCCUACCCUUGAUCUAAGUUCUAAGAAGGUACUUUAUUGUGUGUGACAACACUCAGGUAUGCCAGUGAAGUGGAACCCAUGUGACUGCCUUAUAUGAAUGGACCACAUUACAUUUACAUCCCAAAUUGCAAAUGGAGGGUCAGAAGAAAAUAACUUUGUUGUUAGGAUUGCUUAACCCUAUUAAACCUGG